UACAGGGGGUGCAACCGUUGCUCGGAAUUAUUGGGCGUAAAGCGCGCGUAGGCGGCUACUUAAGUCGGAUGUGAAAGCCCCUGGCUCAACCGGGGAAGUGCACCCGAAACUGGCAGGCUAGAGUACUAAAGAGGGUCGCGGAAUUCCCGGUGUAGAGGUGAAAUUCGUAGAUAUCGGGAGGAACACCGGUGGCGAAGGCGGCGACCUGGGUAGAUACUGACGCUGAGGUGCGAAAGCGUGGGGAGCAAACAGG
rnacentral:rRNA from 1 species